rnacentral:lncRNA from 1 species
UGCAAUGAAUUUCGCUCUUUUAUGAUGAAAGGUGGUCAAGAAAUGAGGAUUACAUCUCCCUUUUACAGCUGGGAAUGUUUCUCACAUGUAUAGCAUCCCAUGUGAGUUGGUGGAGGUGAAAUUGAGUUUUCCGCGUAAAAAGCAGCCUUCUCUGACCACAAUCCGGCCAGGAAUCCGGCCACAAAUCCGGCCAAAUUUCGGCCGGAUUGCUACAGUAAAUCUGGGCUGCUACAGUGAUCCGAGCUGCUACAGUGCCUCGGAUCCACUAACCCAGAAACAGCCGAGGGUUCGGAUGAAUAGUGGAUCCGAGUGUGGAUCACUUGCUCUGUUUUUGGCUCAACUUCAACCGAUCUUUUCUUGAUGUUAGAGGCUGAACCAGCUCAUGUGUAAAACACGAAAGUUGUAGCCUUUUGAGUUAUCUUUCCAAUGCAUCAAGAAUCACCUCAUUUGGAUCUGUGUAGGCUGAGAUAUGACUGAAAUACCCUUGUCUGCUCAUUGCCCUGUUUCAGCUUCGACCAACAGAAAUUAGCUAAUGUAAUUCGGCUUUUUGAUUUUGAAAACCUUCAAACUGGAUUCGGAUGUCUUCACCAAAG